GGUUAAGUGACUAAGCGUACAUGGUGGAUGCCUUGGCAGUCAGAGGCGAUGAAGGACGUACUAACCUGCGAUAAGCCGUGAGCAGUCGGUAAGAGACAUUACGACUCACGGAUUUCCGAAUGGGGAAACCCACUYAGCAUAAGCURGGUAUCGCURCGUGAAUACAUAGCGUAGCGAGGCGAACCGGGAGAACUGAAACAUCUAAGUACCCCGAGGAAAAGAAAUCAACCGAGAUUCCCUCAGUAGCGGCGAGCGAACGGGGAUUAGCCCUUAAGCAUCUUGGAAGUUAGUGGAACGGUCCUGGAAAGGCCGGCGAUACAGGGUGAUAGCCCCGUACACGAAAACAACCUUGAUGUGAAAUCGAGUAGGGCGGGACACGUGACAUCCUGUCUGAAUAUGGGGGGACCAUCCUCCAAGGCUAAAUACUCCUGACUGACCGAUAGUGAACCAGUACCGUGAGGGAAAGGCGAAAAGAACCCCUGUGAGGGGAGUGAAAUAGAACCUGAAACCGUGUACGUACAAGCAGUGGGAGCCCUUCGGGGUGACUGCGUACCUUUUGUAUAAUGGGUCAGCGACUUACAUUUUGUAGCGAGGUUAACCGUAUAGGGGAGCCGUAGGGAAACCGAGUCUUAACUGGGCGUCUAGUUGCAAGGUGUAGACCCGAAACCGGGUGAUCUAGCCAUGGGCAGGUUGAAGGUUGAGUAACAUCAACUGGAGGACCGAACCCACUAACGUUGCAAAGUUAGGGGAUGACCUGUGGCUGGGGGUGAAAGGCCAAUCAAACUCGGAGAUAGCUGGUUCUCCCCGAAAGCUAUUUAGGUAGCGCCUCGGACGAAUACUACUGGGGGUAGAGCACUGUUUGGGCUAGGGGGUCAUCCCGACUUACCAACCCCAUGCAAACUCCGAAUACCAGUAAGUAAUAUCCGGGAGACACACGGCGGGUGCUAACGUCCGUCGUGAA
rnacentral:rRNA from 1 species